rnacentral:rRNA from 1 species
GAUGAACGCUAGCGGCAGGCCUAACACAUGCAAGUCGAGGGAGGAGCUUUCGGGCUUCGACCGGCGUACGGGUGCGUAACGCGUAUACAAUCUGCCUUUCACAUAGGGAUAGCCCGAAGAAAUUUGGAUUAAUACCUAAUGGUAUAUAGGGGUGGCAUCACCUUUAUAUUAAAGCUGAGGCGGUGAAAGAUGAGUAUGCGUUCUAUUAGCUAGUUGGAGAGGUAACGGCUCCCCAAGGCGACGAUAGAUAGGGGUUCUGAGAGGGAUAUCCCCCACACUGGUACUGAGAUACGGACCAGACUCCUACGGGAGGCAGCAGUGAGGAAUAUUGGACAAUGGUCGGAAGACUGAUCCAGCCAUGCCGCGUGCAGGAAGACGGCCUUAUGGGUUGUAAACUGCUUUUGCAGGGGAAGAAUAAGGACUACGCGUAGUUUGAUGACGGUACUCUGCGAAUAAGCAUCGGCUAACUCCGUGCCAGCAGCCGCGGUAAUACGGAGGAUGCGAGCGUUAUCCGGAAUCAUUGGGUUUAAAGGGUCCGUAGGCGGGCUAAUAAGUCAGAGGUGAAAGCGCUCAGCUCAACUGAGCAACUGCCUUUGAAACUGUUAGUCUUGAAUGGUUGUGAAGUAGUUGGAAUGUGUAGUGUAGCGGUGAAAUGCUUAGAUAUUACACAGAACACCGAUAGCGAAGGCAUAUUACUAACAAUUAAUUGACGCUGAUGGACGAAAGCGUGGGGAGCGAACAGG